rnacentral:rRNA from 1 species
GAUCCUGGCUCAGGAUGAACGCUAGCUACAGGCUUAACACAUGCAAGUCGAGGGGCAGCAUGGUCUUAGCUUGCUAAGGCUGAUGGCGACCGGCGCACGGGUGAGUAACACGUAUCCAACCUGCCGUCUACUCUUGGCCAGCCUUCUGAAAGGAAGAUUAAUCCAGGAUGGCAUCAUGAGUUCACAUGUCCGCAUGAUUAAAGGUAUUUUCCGUUACGACGAUGGG